rnacentral:rRNA from 1 species
GAUUAACGCUGGCGGCGUGCAUAACACAUGCAAGUCGAACGAUGAAACUCAUUAGAUUUCUUCGGAAUGAAAAUGAAUGGAUUAGUGGCGAACGGGUGAGUAACGCGUGAGUAACCUGCCUUACACAAGGGGAUAGCCUCUGGAAACGGAGAAUAAUACCCUAUGAAACCAGACAAUCGCAUGAUAAUCUGGUCAAAAUGUUUAGUGGUGUAAGAUGGACUUGCGUCUGAUUAGCUAGUUGGUGAGAUAAAAGCUCACCAAGGCAACGAUCAGUAGCCGGCUUGAGAGAGUGUACGGUCACAUUGGGACUGAGACACGGCCCAGACUCCUACGGGAGGCAGCAGUGGGGAAUUUUGCACAAUGGGGGAAACCCUGAUGCAGCGACGCCGCGUGAUUUAGAAGGCCUUCGGGUUGUAAAAAUCUUUUGUAUAGGAAGAAAAUGACAGUACUAUACGAAUAAGGUCCGGCUAAUUACGUG